UACAGAGGGGGCAAGCGUUGUUCGGAAUUACUGGGCGUAAAGGGCGCGUAGGCGGCCUGCUAAGUCGAUCGUGAAAUCCCCGGGCUUAAUCCGGGAACUGCGACCGAUACUGGUUGGCUUGAAUUCGGGAGAGGGAUGCGGAAUUCCAGGUGUAGCGGUGAAAUGCGUAGAUAUCUGGAGGAACACCGGUGGCGAAGGCGGCAUCCUGGACCGGCAUUGACGCUGAGGCGCGAAAGCCAGGGGAGCAAACGGG
rnacentral:rRNA from 1 species